rnacentral:rRNA from 1 species
CACGUAGGCGGCUAAGUCAGUCUGGUGUGAAAGCCCCCGGCUCAACCGGGGAACUGCAUCGGAUACUGCUUGGCUCGAGGAUGGUAGGGGUGAGUGGAACUCCUGGUGGAGCGGUGAAAUGCGUAGAUAUCAGGAGGAACACCAGUGGCGAAAGCGACUCACUGGGCCAUCUCUGACGCUGAGGUGCGAAAGCUAGGGUAGCGAACAGGAUUAGAUACCCUGGUAGUCC